rnacentral:rRNA from 1 species
AUGCAAUACCUUGAUCUGAAGGAGGAGGAAUUGGAUGAUGUGGUCGUUGGAGAAGAAAAAUUGAAGAAGCUAGAGGCAGACGCCAGGUGGUUAGCCAUUGGUAAGCUGAGCACUUCUCGCACCUUCAGUUCAUCAGCCAUGUUUGAAACACUGAAGUCGAUCUGCAGCCUGGCACAUGUUCCCAAGUACAGAGAAGCUGGGGAGAACUUGUUUAUUUUUCAGAUGUUUUGCCUUGGUGAUUGGAAGAAGGUAGUUCAUGGCGGACCUUGGCUCUUCAGGGGGAUGGGGCUGCUAGUGGAAGAUUAUGGCGGCAAAACUGAUCCAGCCUCAGUGGUGUUUGAUGGUCUGUACGUGUGGGCGCAAAUUCACAGUAUCCCGGAUAUGUACAGAGAUGUUGAUGUGGUCGAUCAAUUAGCUCGCCGGAUAGGACGGGUUAAGGAAAUUCAGCUAUCACCAAAACUGUAUUAUGAAGGGGACUAUGUCCGAGUGCGAGCUCGUGUGUUGGUUGGUAAACCGCUCACUAGGGUUACACCCUUGAAUGUCGCAGGAGAAGGCCGUCGAUUCCUGCCAGUCAAGUAUGAAAAGAUCCCGUACUUCUGUCAAGUCUGUGGUUUCAUGGGUCACAAUCAUGAGGAGUGUGGCGAUGGCGUUUGGGAGCCGAAACAGAGACAGUUUGGCAGUUGGAUGCUUGCACAGAGGAGGGAAACGAGCCCGGCACCGGAGCCACCAUUGGGAGGUCGGGGUACCCGUGGCGGCCGAGGGCGAGGCCGUGGAAGGACAGGGAGAGCUGGGCGUGGGGAGCCAGUCCAGCCCACGCAACAGCAACAGGAGUCGGCCGCUCGCAAACGCUCCUCUCAAGACGCCGACCUGGGCACCGACGAGGAAGACGGCGAUACGGUCACGAGCCCGUUGAAGCAGGCUGCAUUGGCUGGCCUGAAUUAG